ensembl:snoRNA SNORD111B small nucleolar RNA, C/D box 111B
CAGCCUGAAGUGAUGAUUCACAUUCGUGUCUCUUCUCUGAUAAAUUCUUGAAGAAAAUUUUGUGUGUCUGAUCAGGCCU